AGCGGCAGCAGCUUACCACAAAGAAAGCAGUCCAUAUCUUCAAGUCUUAGGGCCAGGACUCUGGAAUUCCAAAAGGUGAGAAAACAAAAUAAAACUAGGCAACAUCGGCAUCCCCAGUUUAUAAGAAGAGUUAUCAAGCUCCAGAUCUGUCUCAGGAUCUCAUGAUCUGCAGCAAUCUCCAUCCCUGAUGUCACCCAGUAACAAAGAAAACACAAGAAGGAAAAGACUGCGGCUACUCAUGUGCAGCUAUUCUUACCUGCUUGUUCUAAUGAUGCAAGCUUUCAUGUUGUGAGCUGCCCCAUAAGGAGUCCCAUGUGGUAAGGAACUGAGGAAGACCACAGAUUGACAACUAGCAAGCAAUUUUAAAAGAAUUUCUAUGAAAUGAUUAUGCCCCAUUUGUUAUCACCUCUUUAAUAACUCGACACAUAAGUUUGUAGUUACAUAAAAUAAAAAUAUAAAAUGCAA